rnacentral:rRNA from 1 species
GUGGGGAAUCUUGCGCAAUGGGCGAAAGCCUGACGCAGCCAUGCCGCGUGAAUGAUGAAGGUCUUAGGAUUGUAAAAUUCUUUCACCGGGGACGAUAAUGACGGUACCCGGAGAAGAAGCCCCGGCUAACUUCGUGCCAGCAGCCGCGGUAAUACGAAGGGGGCUAGCGUUGCUCGGAAUUACUGGGCGUAAAGGGCGCGUAGGCGGAUCGUUAAGUCAGGGGUGAAAUCCCAGAGCUCAACUCUGGAACUGCCCUUGAUACUGGCGAUCUUGAGUGUGAGAGAGGUAUGUGGAACUCCGAGUGUAGAGGUGAAAUUCGUAGAUAUUCGGAAGAACGCCAGUGGCGAAGGCGACAUACUGGCUCAUUACUGACGCUGAGGCGCGAAAGCGUGGGGAGCAAACAGGAUUAGAAACCCCUGUAGUCC